rnacentral:lncRNA from 1 species
AAAUCAGCCAAUCACAAGAUAAAAGAAUCUUAGCUUUUCUUUUAAUCUUAUCUUGAUUGGGGAUUGAAAGAUAAAUAUUAAAUUAUAUAGGGACGACCCUACGAGAAAUAAAUAUUGUAAUCUACCCCUCCUUACUUCUAUAAAAGGAGAGAUAGAAAAACUUAGAAGAUAGACUACACUUUCUCUAAAAUAUGUUCUUUCUUAGAAAAUUGUUAGGUAUCUUCUUCAAUGAGUGAGUAAGCACUUUCUCCCGUCAGGGAAAAGUAAUAAUAGUGUGUAUGUAAGUAUAAAGAAAGAUCUGAUUAAAGAUUUUUCUUAAGUUGUAAUAAGUUCAUGGAAUUAAAGUUUGUUUUAUAUACCUUGUCAAUCUUUUAUGCUGGUAAAAAUGAUGGUUGCGAUCAUCGGCCUAAACGGAGGAAGAACGGAACAGUAUCCAAAACGGUAGGACAAAAAAGUCUAAAGGGGUUCUUCAUAGCCGGAAGGAGAAACACUGCGGUGUUGAUACGACCAACGUAAAGGAAAGACGAAAG